rnacentral:lncRNA from 1 species
UUCUUAAAAUCAUAAACUGAAUAAAUAACUAUUUAUCCUUUAAAAUUCAAUAACAAAACCUUUAAUACUUCGCAGCGGAAUUUAUUCGAUAAUCAAAACAGUCUUUGGCACAAGGCCUCAUCAUUAAUAUCUCAUACAAAUUCGAUCAACAUCUUAUUCAUGAAAAUUCUUUAAGCAAUACGUAAGGAAUAGAAAGACAACAUUAAAAUUCCCAUCCCGUUACGUAUCAGAGCACCUAAAGACACAN